UCUAUUUAGCACUAAGCACUCUGGGUCCUGGGGUUUGCAUGUAUGGAGUUGCUUUACUUAAGAACACAAGAGUACACGUAGUGUGACUUGUGAUUGCAAAAAGGGCAGCCAGUGUUUGUGUGUCAUUUGUUAAAGGCUCUUUUGGGUGGAGAUCUAAGGUGAGUUUAGAAUGAAACCUGUCUGAAAGGAUUGUCUUGGAGCUUAUUUUGGAGAAGAUAAUUCAUGGGACUGCAGAAGCACAAGACCCAGGGUACCAGGAGGCACUGAAAUCCUCAUACAGUGUCUGAAAAGCAUUUCAGCCAGCAGUACUUCUACAAAACAGCUGCGUGCCUAUUUCAUUGAUGAUCCUGAAUCUGCGCAAUGUUUAAGUUGCAAGCUGGUGGAGGGGUAGAAAAUCUCUUGGUUUAUUUUAUUGCAGGCAGAGGGAGCUUAUCUAUACAUUCAUAAAUGUUUUAAACAAUUCUCAUUACCACAUUUUGAUAGUAUAGAAUUUAUUGUAGUAUUCAAGACAGAUGAAGGUCAGAUUUGACAUGAUAGCUUUCAAGGCAAGGUGUCUUUCAAGGCUCUUAUGUCUUCCUUUGGAAAGGGGUAGACUAUUUGUCAGGAGGGCAGAUGAUGUGGUGUAUAAUGGGGGGAAAUUGACAUGCAUGACUUCAACCAUAAGGAGAGAGAGCAUUUAGACUAAAGAUACUGAAUCUCAAAUUUUAAAAUUGAAACAACAUUCAAAAGACUCACUAAGAGCAAAUCUCAAUGUUAAAUCCAGAAAUACUGUCUAGGGGAUUUUUCUAGUUGUUUUCAGAAAAUCUGUGAAGAGAAAUAGGAUGAAGUAUCAUGGGCU